UGGGGAAUAUUGGACAAUGGGCGAAAGCCUGAUCCAGCCAUGCCGCGUGAGUGACGAAGGCCUUAGGGUUGUAAAACUCUUUCGUCGGGGACGAUAAUGACGGUACCCGAAGAAGAAGCUCCGGCUAACUUCGUGCCAGCAGCCGCGGUAAUACGAAGGGAGCUAGCGUUGUUCGGAAUCACUGGGCGUAAAGCGCACGUAGGCGGAUAGUUAAGUCAGGGGUGAAAUCCUGGGGCUCAACCCCAGAACUGCCUUUGAUACUGGCUGUCUCGAGGUCGAGAGAGGUUGGUGGAAUUCCUAGUGUAGAGGUGAAAUUCGUAGAUAUUAGGAAGAACACCAGUGGCGAAGGCGGCCAACUGGCUCGAUACUGACGCUGAGGUGCGAAAGCAUGGGGAGCAAACAGGAUUAGAUACCCAAGUAGUCCCUGAGCGGGCUGGCAAGGCGCAU
rnacentral:rRNA from 1 species